rnacentral:lncRNA from 1 species
GGCAACCCGCUUGAGUCAGCUUCUGCAUUGUGGAAGGUUUGUUCUUUCUCUCUUUGCAGUAAAUCUUACUGCUGCUCACUUUUUGGGUCCACACUGCGUUUAUUAGCUGCAACGCUCACCGCUAUGGUCUGCAGCUUCACUCCUGAAGCCAGCGAGACCACGAACCCACCAGAAUGAAGAAACUCCGAACACAUCCAAACAUCAGAAGGAACAAACUCCGGACAGGCGGCCUUUAAGAACUGUAACACUCACCUCGAGGGUCUGCGGCUUCAUUCUUGAAGUCAGUGAGACCAAGAACCCACCAAUUCCGGACACAAUGUUACUCCAGAUAAUCAGCGCCAUUUUCUGAAGCUUGAGAUGCAGGAAAAGAGGAGUGCUAUCCAUUAGAUGGAGACAGGAAGUAGAAAAAGAGCUUAAAGUUUUGGCUUGUGUUACUUCCUUGGGGAGAUCUUGCUGGACCACAUCAGGAAUAGGAGGGGUGUGUCCCCACAGCACUGUGUACACGAUUGUUGCAAACCUCUCUCAUCCGAGGUGGCUUCCGCACCAUGGCCAGGGUGCUGACCCCUUAUUUCACUGCUACCAUUGGCCUGCUGUAUACCAGCACUUGGGCAAACAGCUGAUAGGAGUUCAUUUUGUGAAGCUGUCACGAGUUUUCCAGUAGACCAUGAGCUUGCUGAUGGCAGGAGCCUGCCUGUCCUUGAUCCUUGUUUCUGUGGGGUCUAUCCCAGUGCCUGGCACAGUGGCUUUGGAGAUGGAAGGAAUAGAGGGAGAGCAGAUCCUCAAACACAGCCUGCAUCUCUCCCUGCUCCCCUCCCACCCUCCAGUUUUCCAGCCAGAGGCAUUUGCUCUAAGGCCCAGGCUGUGGCCCACCUAUCACCGCUACCCAAGUAGUACAGGAAAAGGAAAUUUGAAGAGGAAAAGAGGCACCAGGGAUGAGGACACACCGAGAAAAGACCAUGUGAAGACAUGGCGAGAAGACAGCCAGCUGCAAGCCAAGGAGUGAGGCCUCAGAAGAAACCAACCCUGCCGACACCUUGACCUUGGACUUCUAGUCUCUAGAAUUAUGCGAAAAUAAAUUCCUGUUGUUUAAGCCA